rnacentral:rRNA from 1 species
CACGUAGAGCGCAAGCGUUGUCCGGAAUUAUUGGGCGUAAAGAGCUCGUAGGCGGUCUGUUGCGUCCGCUGUGAAAACUCGGGGCUUAACCCCGAGCCUGCAGUGGAUACGGGCAGACUAGAGGUAGGUAGGGGAGAAUGGAAUUCCCGGUGUAGCGGUGAAAUGCGCAGAUAUCAGGAAGAACACCCGUGGCGAAGGCGGCUCUCUGGGACGGUACUGACGCUGAGACGCGAAAGCGUGGGGAGCGAACAGG